UCUGAGAAGGCUUCACCUGUCACCUCGGCAGCCCACGGCUCCGGGAGGGGCGGUGGCUGUCGGCUCGUCCCGCUUCUGGCCCGCCCUGUCCGGCAGUUCCGCCGGCCGAGCCCGGCAGGGAGGUGGGCGGCUUGGCUCCUGCCAACAUGAUCCAUUUCAUAUUGCUGUUCAGUCGACAAGGGAAAUUAAGGCUGCAGAAAUGGUAUACCACACUCCCUGAUAAAGAGAGAAAAAAGAUCACCCGAGAAAUCGUGCAGAUGAUUCUGUCUCGUGGUCAGAGGAUGAGCAGUUUUAUUGACUGGAAAGAUCUAAAACUUGUUUAUAAAAGAUAUGCUAGCUUAUAUUUUUGUUGUGCAGUAGAAAAUCAGGACAAUGAGCUGUUGACACUAGAGAUUGUACAUCGUUAUGUGGAAUUACUAGACAAGUAUUUUGGAAACGUCUGUGAGCUGGAUAUUAUAUUUAAUUUUGAAAAGGCAUAUUUUAUCCUUGAUGAGUUUAUCAUUGGUGGAGAAAUCCAGGAAACCUCAAAGAAAACUGUUGUCAAGGCUAUAGAAGACUCUGAUAUGUUACAGGAGCUAAGGCAGUGGUGGCCUACAGCCCAAGAGGGUCGGGAAGCUGCACGUGCUUUACUCCAUCUUGAUUAAAAAAAAAAGAAGAAGCAAAUGAGCAAAAAACCAAAAGCCCAAUAACUUCAGUAUGGCUCUAGGAACUUUUUCAAGGAUUCAAGUUCCAGGAAUGUUGCUGGGACAAUGGAAGAAUACAUGAGCAAACCUGCAUUUUAACUGAAAAAUCUACUUGACAACCCGAUGAUGCUGCAUGUCAUAAACCUGUAAAACUUCAGCUGGAUGUGGUUCUUUUCUGAUGUGCCAGAGCCUUAUGCCAAAAAUAACUUAAAUGGAUUGCGUGUGAAAUUUUCUGGAUACUUUGGGAUACUGUGUUCACUACCAAGAUUUAAAACUGUAGCAUAUUUGUAACAGGUGCAUAUCUAUAUUAUUCUCUGUACAUGGAUUCUCUCGACUGGAACUUAAAACAACCAUCGUUCAGCAGAUUGCAUAUUUUGUUUGUACAAUGAUUUUUACCAGCAAAGUAAUAAUUUUAAAAUAUUUUUGAGAAAUGAGCUAUGCUUUAUUUUUGCUAGUCUUCUCAAAGAACAAGUUGGUAACUAUUUUGUAAAAGUUAUGAAUGUACUGCAUAUCUUGGACUAAAUUAAUACUUUGGUCUAACUACAUA